rnacentral:lncRNA from 1 species
CUUGCCUGAGAUCGACAUGUCUUUAUCUUCAGAAGCAGAGAGAAAAUUCUUAUUGGAAUUUGAUUUUUUCCAAGACCCCAUUGCUUUUCUACAAUCCUUCACACGCCAUCUCACACACAAUCACACUUCUGUGAAUGCGACCAUGUAAAUUUGCUCAUAAAAUGUGUAUCAGCUCAAUCCAAGACUGUCGGAUUAGAGAGAGGAAGAGUGUUGCUAUUGAGAGUAAAAUAAAUGGAAUUUUGGCAGAGAUCUGAGGAUUCUUAAGCGAAUGCGAUAAGAAAAGAUACCAGCUGGGUUGGGUGCGCCGUUCGCGUAAGAUCAAACUCAGAAUAAAGUAUAAUUCCUCGAAAAAGUGCAGGCUAUUAUUAAAUGGGAAUAUUUGCAAUUUUGGACCUCAAUCUUUG